AGUUAAGCAACACAAAUUAUUUAUGGCGUUAAAAUUAAUGGUAUUAAGUUAAAUUAUUACCAUACCCAGCCAACCUUGGGCAGGCCGGCCAACAAAUUUACGGUCAAACACACGGGGAUUGGAUGAGGUGUUGAGUGGAUGAGGUGCACUCGGCUUGAAGAAAAACAUGUGACAAUCCAUAGAAACGAGUGUCUGAUCAACCUGCCACCUGUGUCAGGUUAACGACAAAACGACUCGGACGAUGUCCUGUUGGGCGAAAAUAUUUCUCCUUUCCACGGCGUUCCCCACAUAUGGAAUCCUUCACCACAGCUGCACAUUGUACCGCCGAGUACACCCAGCAGGGGAAACCAAUCGACUUAAUGCCCUGACAAUCCGCUUCACAUUAAAAACUAUACGUACCACAAAGGUUCUUGACGGUAUUUUCAUUUCUCAUCCGGAACCCACCCUAGCAAACACGGUUGGCGGUAUGAUUCGAAAUUUGAACUGGACCAAAAACGGCUCCACCAUUGAGAAAGGUGGGCUAUCCGGAAAACGUUACGUAUUCUGUACGGGCCAACCCAAACAACGUAUUCCUCUUAAGGAAUACGUAGUCAACCUUCCAACAAACUAUGAGAAGCGUGUGAACCCCAAGAAGGAAAAUUGCUCUCGAUAACGAGAUCAUAUUGGAACAAGAUAAAUAGAUUAAUUGGACAUGAGUUAAUUAAUCACCUAAAGUAAUUUCACAUGAUGGGAUACGAAUUGUAUAAUCAACAAGCACCACAAUCCAUAAUUACACAUCUACAGAUAAUCUAUAAAAUAUUCACCAACUACAUGACAAGUUAAUUAUAAAUAUCUAUUCAACACUUGUUUAAGGUGUCAGCAAUUUUAAUUAUAUUCACUAACCUACAUCUGCAAAUGCAUACUUAUACAGAUGUAAAUAACG